ACACAUUCUCAGGGCAGGGCGAAAUUCCCUACCGGUGGUAAGUGAGUCAGUACUCAUCAGCCCACGAGCGUUUAUUCUUCGUGAAUAAAGUCAGCAGAUUUGGUGCAAAUCCAAAGCCGACAGUAAUAGUCUGGAUGAAAGAGAAUAGAC
rfam:Avibacterium paragallinarum JF4211, WGS project CBMK01000000 data, contig: 68-42-34-26-66